rnacentral:rRNA from 1 species
UCUGAAUCUGCGAACGGCUCCGCAAACCAGUUGUAAACUACAGCAAGCAAGCACGGGGGGUUGGCCUUCACGGGUCGGUCCCUCGGGCGAUAUGGAUAACCCUGGUAAUUCUGAGGCUAAUACAAGAACGUAACCCCUGGCUGACUGAGCCCUCGCCCUCGGGUGGGGAUACUUGGGAGGCUGGGAAGCGUGCGAGUACUAAUGCGAAUGAGAACCGGGAAUGGGCGCACGCUUGGACCGCGCUACAAAGGAUCAUUACUCGGCAAUCCCUCCGGGGUGCGCUUUGUUUUGG